rnacentral:rRNA from 1 species
CAACAGGGAUUGCCUCAGUAACUGCGAGUGAAGCGGCAAAAGCUCAAAUUUGAAAUCUGGCGCCUUCGGCGUCCGAGUUGUAAUUUGGAGAGGCAUCUUCGGAUAUGGCGCCGUCCUAAGUUCCUUGGAACAGGACGUCACAGAGGGUGAGAAUCCCGUGCCUGGUCGGCUGUCCAUAUCCAUGUGAAGUGUCUUCGACGAGUCGAGUUGUUUGGGAAUGCAGCUCAAAAUGGGUGGUAAAUUUCAUCUAAAGCUAAAUAUUGGCGAGAGACCGAUAGCGCACAAGUAGAGUGAUCGAAAGAUGAAAAGAACUUUGAAAAGAGAGUUAAAAAGUACGUGAAAUUGUUGAAAGGGAAGCGCUUGAGACCCCACUCGAUCUUUGGUGAUCAGCUAGGCUUCUGUCUGGUGCACUUGCCAUUGAUUGGGCCAGCAUCGGUUCUGACGGCGGGAUAAAAGGCAGAGGAAUGUGGCUCUCUUCGGGGAGUGUUAUAGCCUCAGUCAUAAUGCCGCCAGUUGGGACCGAGGACCGCGCUUCGGCUAGGAUGCUGGCAUAAAGGUCUUAAGCGACCCGUCUUGAAACACGGACCAAGGAGUCUAACAUCUAUGCGAGUGUUCGGGUGGAAAACCCUUGCGCGUAAUGAAAGUGAACGGAGGUGGGAACUCUUCGGAGUGCACCAUCGACCGAUCCUGAUGUUUUCGGAAGGAUUUGAGUAAGAGCAUAGCUGUUGGGACCCGAAAGAUGGUGAACUAUGCCUGAAUAGGGUGAAGCCAGAG